UCAACUGAGUUUUGAUAGAAAUGACAGCUGCAUUUUAUAUGUAUAUUUUGUCUGUUUAUAGUGAGUUAAAUUACAUCAUCAUGACAGUAGUACAAGUGACACAAGCAAGGUUGAUGAUAAUCAAGGUUUGGGAAUCUACAGCAUGGAUUUGACCACUAUUUGACUCUAUGAAUGGAUUCUUUGGGGCAAUCUGAGGAGGGGCUGGACUUCAGAUCUGGAUUCAGUGGGCAGCAGAGAUGGUCCCCUGGACUUGGGAGCCAGAAAAGAGAGAGAUCCCAGGAAUAUCUUGCACCCCUAUUCUGCAGACUUGCCUGAACUGAACUUGUAUUGUCAACUAAGAAGCAAUCAAUUGGGCUUCAUCCAGUAUCCCUGCUAUUUGCCAGUCAACUUCCCAAGAGAAUGCAAACUCUGCACCCAGCCUGGCUCAAGUCAUCAUCUGUAUAAAUAGAAUCCUGCAGCAGUCUCCAAAGCAGUCCUUCAAGAUUUUGCCAUUGGUUAUUUCCAAUUCUUCUUGUACACUGAACCAGGGCUCAGUAGUCAAAGCAUAUCCUCAACACCUGUUGGACUCAAAGAGGAGGGCAGUGUCAACAACAACAGCAAAUCCAGCACUACGCGUCUCUGGGGGCAGUGCUUCCUACUCUGGCUGUGGGCCUCAAGUCCAAGGAGUUUGACUCAAAUCCACGCUCUUCCACAUGCAAGCAGUGUCCAAGGUGUGCCUGUGUCCCUCACUGGUGCAGUACAGUUGGUACCGCAUGAGGUUCAGAUAGAGCGACAGAGAGGCAACAUAUCAUGUGGCCCACGGAGGUGAAAAUGAUUUAUAUUUAAGGAUGUUGCUGCCUACUUCCAUUACUUUGAGGCUAUGCAAAGAGACCAGUUGCUCUCCAAGAAUCAGUCAAGGUCAAAGGAAGAAGGGAUGGCCCCUUUGAAAGACAGCGAUGUGAGCA